GGCCUACGGGGGGCUGCAGUAGGGAAUAUUGGUAAUCUGGGAAACCGGGAACCAGCAACGCCGCGUGCGCGAUGAAGGCCUUCGGGUUGUAAAGCGCUUUUAGAAGGGAUGAGGAAGGACAGUACCUUCUGAAUAAGCCUCGGCUAACUACGUGCCAGCAGCCGCGGUAAAACGUAGGAGGCGAGCGUUAUCCGGAUUUACUGGGCGUAAAGCGCGUGUAGGCGGUCUUGUAAGUUGGAUGUGAAAGCUCCUGGCUUAACUGGGAGAGGUCGUUCAAAACUGCAAGACUUGAGAGUGGUAGAGGGAGGUGGAAUUCCGGGUGUAGUGGUGAAAUGCGUAGAUAUCCGGAGGAACACCAGUGGCGAAAGCGGCCUCCUGGACCACUUCUGACGCUCAGACGCGAAAGCUAAGGUAGCAAACGGGAUUAGAUACCCUUGUAGUCG
rnacentral:rRNA from 1 species